rnacentral:tRNA from 1 species
GAGGAUGUGGCUCAGUGGUUAAGCACCCUUGGGUUCAAUCCCUGGUACAAAAAAAAAGAAAGAAAGAAAAAAAACUGAGAUUGGGGUUGGGGAUGUAGCUCACUGGGAAAGCUCCUGCCCUGGGUUCAAUCCCCAGUAUCCUCG